CAGGCAGGCAGUGAUCCGAAAAGGAAAAGGGGCCUGCCUAAGGCCACACCUUCCUGGUGUUUCUUUCCUUAGAAUGUGGGGGCUGGAAGCCUCCUUGGUGCCCUGCCCCAGGCUACAUGCUUUCCCUGGGAUUAGGCCUUCCAGCUCCCAGAUGUGUUCUUUCUUGCCCUGUGGCUCGUACCCACAGCAGGACUGUCCUGGCACAGUGGCCAGGGGCAGAUGACCUCAAGGGGCAGACAGUCCUCCCAGACAGCAGGGCUGUGUGGGGUGAGAAGCACAGGCUCCAAGAUGGAAGGAUGGACACUGGGGUUCUAUGUCCAUUUCUCAGUAGGCUCUAGCACCCCUGUGCCCAGCACUGGCCUUGGCACCUGGAACAACAACAGAUAUCUUCUGAACACAAAAACCAGGUCAAGCUGGGUGGGGUGGCACAUGUCUGUAGUCCCAGCAACUCAGGAGGCUGGCUUGAGCCCAGGAAUUCAAGACCAGCCUGGGCAACAUAGCCAGACCCCAUCUCUAAAAAUAGAAAACUAGGUCAUGUCACUCUGGCACUGCAGCUUAAAAGACCUCCUCCCCAUUUUCAGGAUUAAGAAGGCUUAAGAGGCCUCUUUCCCCUCGCUCUCUUACGGAUAAACACCCACACUCGAUUCUCUCAGAUUGGACCCCAUAGCUUGCUUUCUUUUUUUCUGUUUGUUUUGUUUUGUUUUGAGACAGGGUCUCGCUCUAUCACCCAGGAGGGAGUACAGAGGUGCGAUCUCAGCUCACUGCAGCCCGGAACUUCUGGGCUUAAGUGAUCCUCCCACGUAACUGGGAAUACAGGUGUGUGGACCACACCCAGUUAAUUUAUUUUUUACUUUUUCUUUUUUUUUUUUUUUUUUUCCUGAGACGGAGUCUCACACUCCAGCCUGGCGACAGAGUGAGACUCAUCUCAAAAAAAAGAGUUAAGAGAAUCCGGAGUCACAGGGGCGGGGGGAGUGAUGGUAGCAGAGGUGGUCAGCACUCACCUUGGUGAGAAGCACCACUGGAGCCAAGGCCACAGGGAUGAUGGGAAGAGAGUUCCAGGCAGAGAGAAGGGCAGAUGGUAAGGCCUCGAGGGCAACACCUGCUCCUGGCUAGGGUGGGCCUAGGGGAGGGGGUUUAGGAAAGGGUAUUUGGAGACCUAAAGUUGAAGGUCAUUCUAAGGACUCUGGCAUUGCCUUUGAGUAAAAACCUGGAAAGGAUUUGAGCAGAGGCAGCAUGGUCAGAUUUAGACAUUCAGAGAGUCACCAGGGAGGUGGUGAGAAGUAGCUGAUCCCUGGAUUUAUUUUUAAAGCAGAACUGGCAGGAUCUGCUGAUGGACUGGAUGUGGGGUGCGAGGGAAAGAGAGGAGUCAGGAUGAUGCCAAG
rnacentral:lncRNA from 1 species